rnacentral:ncRNA from 1 species
GUAUUAAGUGUUGUGUGAACGGGGAGUUGUCACAUGAACGAAAAGAUUUUCUUGCGAUACAUAUAUUGCAUCCCGCUGC